rnacentral:rRNA from 1 species
GCAUGGCCGUUCUUAGUUGGUGGAGCGAUUUGUCUGGUUAAUUCCGAUAACGAACGAGACUCUGGCCUACUAACUAGACGUUGGAUCCCUUGUGGGUCCAACGCAGCUUCUUAGAGGGACGGGCGGCGUUUAUCCGCACGAGAUUGAGCAAUAACAGGUCUGUGAUGCCCUUAGAUGUUCUGGGCUGCACGCGCGCUACACUGAAGGAAUCACCAUGUGUUCCCUGUCCGAAAGGAUCGGGAAACCCUCUGAACCUCCUUCGUGAUGGGGAUUGGGGAUUGAAAUUAUUCCCCAUGAACGAGGAAUUCCUAGUAGGCGUGAGUCAUCAGCUUGCGUCGAUUACGUCCCUGCCCUUUGUACACACCGCCCGUCGCUACUACCGAUCGAGUGAUUUAGUGAGGCCUUUGGACUGGUCUUCGUUAUGGCCUUCGGGUCGUGCCGGAGUACCGGGAAGAUGACCAAACUUGAUUACUUAGAGGAAGUAAAAGUCGUAACAAGGUUUCCGUAGGU